rnacentral:rRNA from 1 species
GAUCAUGGCUCAGGAUGAACGCUGGCGGCGUGCCUAACACAUGCAAGUCGAACGGAACUAUUUUGGAAACUCCUUCGGGAGCGGAAUCUUUAGUUUAGUGGCGGACGGGUGGAGUAACGCGUGAGCAAUCUGCCUUUAAGAGGGGGAGUAACAGUCGGAAACGGACUGCUAAUAACCGCAUAAAGCAUCAAAUUCGCAUGUUUUUUGUAUGCCCAAAAGGAAGCAAUCCGCCUUUUAGUAUGAGCUCGCGU